UACAGAGACUGCGAGCGUUAUUCGGAUUCACUGGGCGUAAAGGGUGCGCAGGCGGCCGUGUGUGUGAGGCGUGAAAGCCCGGGGCUUAACCCCGGAAUUGCACCUCAAACUACACGGCUAGAGCAUUGGAGAGGGUAGCGGAAUUCACGGUGUAGCAGUGAAAUGCGUAGAUAUCGUGAGGAACACCAGAGGCGAAGGCGGCUACCUGGACAAUUGCUGACGCUCAGGCACGAAAGCUAGGGGAGCGAAUGGG
rnacentral:rRNA from 1 species